rnacentral:rRNA from 1 species
GGGUAACCUGCCUGUAAGACUGGGAUAACUCCGGGAAACCGGGGCUAAUACCGGAUGGUUGUUUGAACCGCAUGGUUCAAACAUAAAAGGUGGCUUCGGCUACCACUUACAGAUGGACCCGCGGCGCAUUAGCUAGUUGGUGAGGUAACGGCUCACCAAGGCAACGAUGCGUAGCCGACCUGAGAGGGUGAUCGGCCACACUGGGACUGAGACACGGCCCAGACUCCUACGGGAGGCAGCAGUAGGGAAUCUUCCGCAAUGGACGAAAGUCUGACGGAGCAACGCCGCGUGAGUGAUGAAGGUUUUCGGAUCGUAAAGCUCUGUUGUUAGGGAAGAACAAGUACCGUUCGAAUAGGGCGGUACCUUGACGGUACCUAACCAGAAAGCCACGGCUAACUACGUGCCAGCAGCCGCGGUAAUACGUAGGUGGCAAGCGUUGUCCGGAAUUAUUGGGCGUAAAGGGCUCGCAGGCGGUUUCUUAAGUCUGAUGUGAAAGCCCCCGGCUCAACCGGGGAGGGUCAUUGGAAACUGGGGAACUUGAGUGCA